AUUGAACGCUGGCGGCAGGCCUAACACAUGCAAGUCGAGCGGAUGAGGAAAGCUUGCUUUUCGAUUCAGCGGCGGACGGGUGAGUAAUGCCUAGGAAUCUGCCUGUUAGUGGGGGAUAACUCGGGGAAACUCGGGCUAAUACCGCAUACGUCCUACGGGAGAAAGUGGGGGAUCUUCGGACCUCACGCUAACAGAUGAGCCUAGGUCGGAUUAGCUAGUAGGUGAGGUAAUGGCUCACCUAGGCGACGAUCCGUAACUGGUCUGAGAGGACGAUCAGUCACACUGGAACUGAGACACGGUCCAGACUCCUACGGGAGGCAGCAGUGGGGAAUAUUGGACAAUGGGCGAAAGCCUGAUCCAGCCAUGCCGCGUGUGUGAAGAAGGUCUUCGGAUUGUAAAGCACUUUAAGUUGGGAGGAAGGGUUGUAAGCUAAUAUCUUGCAGCUUUGACGUUACCAACAGAAUAAGCACCGGCUAACUCUGUGCCAGCAGCCGCCGUAAUAC
rnacentral:rRNA from 1 species